CUGUGAAACUGCGAAUGGCUCAUUAAAUCAGUUAUCGUUUAUUUGAUAGUACCUUACUACUUGGAUAACCGUGGUAAUUCUAGAGCUAAUACAUGCUAAAAACCUCGACUUCGGGAGGGGUGUAUUUAUUAGAUAAAAAACCAAUGCCCUCCGGGGCUCCUUGGUGAUUCAUAAUAACUUAACGAAUCGCAUGGCCUUGUGCCGGCGAUGGUUCAUUCAAAUUUCUGCCCUAUCAACUUUCGAUGGUAGGAUAGUGGCCUACCAUGGUUUCAACGGGUAACGGGGAAUUAGGGUUCUAUUCCGGAGAGGGAGCCUGAGAAACGGCUACCACAUCCAAGGAAGGCAGCAGGCGCGCAAAUUACCCAAUCCCGACACGGGGAGGUAGUGACAAUAAAUACUGAUACAGGGCUCUUUUGGGUCUUGUAAUUGGAAUGAGUACAAUUUAAAUCCCUUAACGAGGAACAAUUGGAGGGCAAGUCUG
rnacentral:rRNA from 1 species